rnacentral:rRNA from 1 species
CCCUUAGAUGUUCUGGGCCGCACGCGCGCUACACUGACGAAGUCAGCGAGCAUGUCCUACGCCGACAGGUGCGGGGAAUCUUGUCAAACUUCGUCGUGAUGGGGAUUGAUUAUUGAAAUUCUUGAUCAUCAACGAGGAAUUCCUAGUAAGCGAAAGUCAGCAGCUUGCGUUGAUUACGUCCCUGCCCUUUGUACACACCGCCCGUCGCUACUACCGAUUGAAUGGUUUAGUGAGAUCUUCGGAUUGGCGCCACUGCGGCUCAGCAAUGGGCUCGGUGGAUGCCGAAAAGUUGAUCAAACUUGAUCAUUUAGAGGAAGUAAAAGUCGUAACA